GCCGGGUGUGGUGGCGCGUGCCUGUAGUCCCAGCUACAUGGGAGGCUGAGGUGGGAGGAUCACUUCAGCCCAGAAGUUCUGGGCUGUAGUGCAUUAUGCUGAUCGGGUGUCUGCACUAAGUUUGGCAUCAAUAUGGUGACCUCCUGGGAACGGGGGAUCACCAGGCUGCCUAAGGAGAGGUGAACUGGCCCAGGUCGGAAAUGGAGCAGGUCAACGCUCCCAUGCUGAUCACACCUGUGACUAGCCACUGCACUCCAGCCUGGGCAACAUAGCGAGGCCAUGCCUCU
rnacentral:SRP_RNA from 1 species